CCGAUUAAACCGCCCGACCCAACCCAAACUGACCGGGUUGGGUCGGGAUUUUUUUUUUGUCCAUGGGUUACCUAAUCGGGUUGGGUUGUGGGUUGACUAGGAAAACCGCCCAACCUGACCCACCAACAUUUAAAAAAAAAAAAGAAAGAAAGAAAGAAACAGUAAAACACCACUUAAAAGUCCUAAAUGAGUAAGUUUCUCACUCACUACAAAAAAUCCCUAAAUUCUCUCGUUCCCUCUCUCUUGCUCCCGCUCAAAUUGUCGACAACAGCACCCUUUUUUUCGACUGCCCCAAGCCGGUCACUGAACGUCCAACUCUAGGAAAUCCACAAGAUGGGUAUAUUAUUUCACUCUUCAUUUUUCAGGUUUUGUAAGUCACAAUUUGAUGAAUUUUUUCCCAUCUUUUGAAGAGUACUAUGAUUCAGUGGUGAAAUCUUCUUAUUUGGCUUUGUUUGGUGAAAAUGUAUUCUCAGUUUUUGGGUUCAAGGCUAUGCCAGGGACUCGCAAACAAAGGAAGUCGAGUAAGGGCUUAAGGUUGCUUCUUCUGGUAAUGUGAGUCAUGUAUUUCUUAGUUUUUUUUUUUUUUUUUUAACAUUCACUUAAUUAUAUAUUUUGAUUUUUGUUG
rnacentral:lncRNA from 1 species